CCCCUCCUCCUCCUAACCCCACCCCCUCCUCCUCCUAACCCCACCUCCUAACCUCACCCCUCCUCCUCCUAUCCCCACCCCCUCCUCCUCCUAACUCCACCCUCCUCCUCCUCCUAACCCCACCCUCCUCCUCCUCCUAACCCCACCCCCCUCCUCCUCCUCCCCCUCUCCCCUCCUCCUCCUCCUCCUCCUCCUCCUCCUCCUCUGGGGGACAUUUUAACCACUGUUAUCUGAGAGCGUUCCAGAGCUAUAGACUAGAGCUGCAGUAGAACCCGUGUUAGUAGGACUGUUUUAGAUCCAGUCGAGCUCCAUCCUCCAUAGAAUGUCCUUAGGACCCCUGAGGCCUCCUCCAGGUCCUCCUCUCCCAGGGAACGCUCUGCAGCGAGGAGAGAGGAGGUGGUGAGAGGAGGCGAGGGCUGUUUAGACCGUGUAUCUAUGUAAAUAAGGGAGGAGACGUCUCUACUGCUCAAUGCAGCCGUGAGGUCACUGAUGACAUCACGGAGGUGUCCGGCCGUGAGGUCACUGAUGACAUCACGGAGUCGUCCGGCCGUGAGGUCACUGAUGACAUCACGGAGGUGUUGCACAAUGGGUGGGCGCGUCCAGGAGUUUCCAGAGAGGCGACUCCUGGACCAGCGAGGCACUCACGUUAAAUAGCAUUAAAUAGUAAUACUUUACUAGUACUACCCUAGUACUAGUAUUCUGCAUUACUAGUAAGAAUCAUUAUUAAGUACCAGUAGUACUACUCCGCAGCAGCAGUACUACCGGAAUGAAUCGUUUAUUCGUAGUAUUUUUUACUAGAGGGCGUUGAAGCAAUGUUACUGUGAGGCACAAACAGGAUUUACCUUCUGACUAAUGUUGCUUUAUUUUUUAAGGAAUACUAAAAGGGGGGGCUUGACCCCUGAGUGGGUGUGGCCAUGGGGUGGGUGUGGCCACGGGGUGGGUGUGGCCACGGGGUGGGCGUGGCCUUGUGAAGAACAGUAUUAGCAUUUGGACUGGUACUGUCCUCUGUUGGGUGCCAUCUUUGUUUUUAUUCUUUUAAUUUUGUAAUUUUUUUUAUUGUUGUGAACGAUCUCCGCCACCGAUAGCGUUUGAGAAGCGGUUGCUAUGGAGAUGACGUUGGGGAGCAUCCCAUGGCAGUUACUACGGAACUUCAGGAACAUACUGUGGCUGUUGCUACGGAAACGUUCAGGAGCGUCCCGUGGCCGCGGCGAUGGACGGAUUGGGGAGCGUCAAGUCGGUAUUUCAAUUUUGCACAGUGGCGCCCCCAGUCCUCUAGCCGUUGCCACGGGAGACAGAUUCAAGUUUGGCGUUGUCAUGACUACCUCAUCUGCACGGAUGGAGGAGAAUGAGUUGACACCUGGACCCUCCCCCCCCCCCUUGUCUUCAGCCAUGAUCCACUCUCACUGCCAACUCCUCCCUCCCGCUCCCAUUGGUUGGCCCGGUCAGCUGUUGUCCGGCCCGGGCGUCAUGGCGACGGGGGACGUCCUUAGAUGUACAGAAACGUGAAAAAAAAAUACUUUUGGAGAAAAUAAAAGAGGAAGUGCAUCGAUUUGUCCUGACUGUUGAUUCUGCUUUAAAGAGCUGUGAUGUCACCGCUGUGCUGUAAAUAUUAAAAAUUAGACCUUAAAUUAGAGAACACCGAUCUACCCCCGACAGAUCUAGAGUUGGGGAGAAUAGAUCCGCCCUCUACAGAUCUAGAAGAUAACAUAACUUAAAGCUAUUUCUGAACAUCAUUCACAUUAAGGUGAUCAGAAUAAGUGAUCAU
ensembl:lncRNA